ACCAGGUAUGAUUGGGUACCAGGUAUGAUUGGGUACCAGGUAUGAUAGGGUACCAGGUAUGAUAGGGUACCAGGUAUGAUUGGGCACAAG